CUUUUAUUUUAUAAAUUAGAAUUAUUCUAGUUAGUUAAAUUAAAAUUUUAUAAACUAAUAACUUUAUUAAUUUUUAGUCAUUACUUUUUUAUUUUUUUUGCUUAAAAUAAUUAAAAUUAUCAAUUUUAAUGAAAUCAAUAAUUUAUUAAACAAUAAAUUUUAUAAAAUUUUAAAUUUAAUUGUGCUAAAUCAACAUAAAUGGAAAGCGCGUUAAAAUACAUUAUUAAUAAAAAAGUGGGCUAGACCAU
rnacentral:lncRNA from 1 species